CUGCUCUGAGCUGCUCUAUGGAGUGGCCUAUGUGGCAGGAACUGAAGAUAAUCUUCAAUGCCAGCCAGCAAAAAACGGAGGUCCUCAGUCCAACAUCCCACAAGGAAAUGAAUUCUGCCAACAACCGUGUGAAUGAGACUGCAGUCUUGGUCAGAAAUGCGAUUGCAGCUUUCAGAAGAGACUCUGGAAUAGAGGACCCAACAAACGGAUGCCUGGACUCCUGACCCAAACCCACAGUAAUGGAAUCAGGACGUGCUUGCCCCUGAAGGUUAAAGCUGAUGUUUGCCCCCCAAGGAAACCUCUUUCCAUCAAAGCAUCUCUCACCAUCAUCCCUGGCCUACAGAGGGCAUCCGCUUUUCAAGAAUGCCAACUCCUCUCUCACCAAUGUGUGUUUUUUCUGAAGGGUUCCAGAAGCAACACUUUGUUAGGAGAUGCUGCAGAAGCCAGAGGAUUGCCUGAUGCCUCCCAGCUGAAUCAGCAAAGCUUUCCUCUAAUAGCGUUGCUUGAUUAAGGGGUUUUGCUUCCCAAGGAAUGGCCUUACUGUUCAAAUUCAGAUGCACUAGGCAAGUUCAGAAGACAAGAGUGAAGAUGAGACGCCAACAGCCUCACACUGAGGACGAUUCUUUCUCCAGCUCCCCACUGCACAAGCAAGCUUGGUAUUCAUCAAUAUGACAUGGUCUGGAAGUUUUCCUGUAUAUUCAUCAGCUUGGGUUACUAAACAAAGUACAAAAUA